UACGAAGGGGGCUAGCGUUGCUCGGAAUUACUGGGCGUAAAGCGCACGUAGGCGGCUUUCUAAGUCGGGGGUGAAAUCCUGGAGCUCAACUCCAGAACUGCCUUCGAUACUGGAGAGCUUGAGUCCGGGAGAGGUGAGUGGAACUGCGAGUGUAGAGGUGAAAUUCGUAGAUAUUCGCAAGAACACCAGUGGCGAAGGCGGCUCACUGGCCCGGUACUGACGCUGAGGUGCGAAAGCUAGGGGAGCAAACGGG
rnacentral:rRNA from 1 species